GCCCUUAGAUGUCCGGGGCCGCACGCGCGCUACACUGAAAGAAUCAACGUGCCAACUGCUUGGCCUGGGCCGACAGGUCCGGGUAACCCGUUGAACCUCUUUCGUGCUUGGGACAGGGAUUUGCAAUUGUCUCCCUCGAACGAGGAAUUCCCAGUAAGCGCGAGUCAUAAGCUCGCGUUGAUUACGUCCCUGCCCUUUGUACACACCGCCCGUCGCUACUACCGAUUGAACGGUUUAGUGAGGUGUUCGGAUUGGCGCGGGCGGCGGCUCGUCUGCCGACCCGCGCCGAAAAGAUCAUCAAACUUGAUCGUUUAGAGGAAGUAAAAGUCGUAACAAGGUUUCC
rnacentral:rRNA from 1 species